AAGACUAUGCUUUCAGGCAUCACGGCUAUAGUUGGUUACUGGAGAAGUUUCUCUGACCAUGUAGACCACCCGAAGCCACGAGGAGGAGAUGCAGCGUUCUCUCCCAAGCGUGCAGCGGCUCUUGGUGUUGCCUCUUCAGCGGCCACUGGCCUUUGAUGAUCAUUUCUUCUCUUCCUUUGGGAGGGUAGGAGGGAGGGAAUGCUGUCUGAGUGGG
ensembl:snoRNA U3 Small nucleolar RNA U3